UUGAAACUUAAGAUUGAAUAUUGUUUUAUAUGUUUGGCAUUUCUUCUUUUAUAAGCAGGCUACAUGUAUCUUUUCCCAUUUUUAUGGGGCUCUUUACUUCCUUUUAUUGAUUUGUAGGAGCUCUGUGUAUAGUAAAGGUAUUAAUUCGGUCCAUCAUAUCAUUUGCAAAUAAUUUUUCUCCAGUUCUUUAUUUCUGCGUAAAUGUCAUUUGUGAUCUUUUGCCAUAGGAAAUUUAAAAUUAUAUAUUGUAUCAAGAUAAUCUUUGGGUAAGAAAAUUCCUCGUUCCAAGAUUAUGAAAGUAUUCAUCUGUGUUUUCACCGAGUACAUUUCUGGCUUUGUUUGAUGCAUCUGUAUGUCGAUAAUAAGGAAUCAGGGAUGUCUUGGUGGUGGAUUAGGAGGUCUGUUUGGCCUUAAGUCUCAACCGCAG
rnacentral:lncRNA from 1 species